rnacentral:rRNA from 1 species
CGGAGUCUGCAACCCGACUCCGUGAAGCUGGAUUCGCUAGUAAUCGCGCAUCAGCCAUGGCGCGGUGAAUACGUUCCCGGGCCUUGUACACACCGCCCGUCAAGCCAAGGAAGCCGGGGGCGCUUGAAGUGCGUUGCCGCAAGGGCGCGCCCUAGAGCGAAACCGGUGACUGGGGCUAAGUCGUAACAAGGUAUC